AUCUUUUUAAACCUUUAUCGACCCUUUUUGGUGGUAAUGCAGAUGAGACGUCGAGAAGAUGGAUUUUCUCAUCUUUAAAUAUCGUCACAAGUCUCCGUCGGAUGUUGCCCCUGCUCCUGGUGCGAACGAAACUCGCUGGAGUGAAUUGAUAAUGCGCCAACAAAAUACUUCUGGUAGUAAAAAGGGACCAUCACUGGAAAACGGAAAGUGACAAUCGCUGCCGUCACCGAGACUCGUCAUCAACGUGGAUCAUGGUAUUGUUUGUAUUGUUUCGUUUGUGUUUGUUAACCCGUUGUCUGCCACGCCUUGGUUUUCCCCUAGCUCCUUAGCACGGGCUGCGUGCGCUGUUCGGCCUCGUGGUUUUCAUGCCGCGGAAUCGGAGAGUCGCACCCGCCCAAAAUUUGCCGCAAGGCGCCUGUUAGGCAAUGCACCAUAGGGACUUCCCCUUGUCGAUGCGGUGAUGGAUUCUCCUGUCACCGUGUCAGCCCGGACUUGUCAGCAAUGGCAAGUCCCACCUUGGCCAGGGAUCCUUCAGACGUGGCACGUAGAAUAGUAGAGAACAAUCUACGGGUUGUAUGGCGUGGUAGUCAACGGGUUAAUUUACGUAUAUGUAUGUAUGUUUAUAUGUGUCUUUAAAAUGUGUGGUGGAAUUGUGGGUGGAGGUGGGACAAUA